CGUAGGUCAACAGUUCAGCCUACCAGAGCGGCCCAGACGAGUCUGCGGCGCCGCUAGUCUCUCCCCGAGGCGACACGCUCAACAUGCGAGAAGGCCCUCCUUGGAGGGAAAUUCGCAGCCAGCCUCCCUACCCGGAGACCGGUUCAGAGACUCAAUGAGUGUGGGUUUGGCUUCCACAGCCAUGCUUGAGAUAGAGCCCGUCCCCGCUGGCAACCGCGCGGAGUCAACGGAACCUGCGGAAGGAUCAUUAAAGAAUACAGGCCUCCGGGCUAUAUUCUCACACCCUGUGUACUUGCCCUGUUGCUUCGGCAGCGCUGGACCGUGGCUGUGAGUAUUGUCGAAAGGAGUAACUCCGCCAGCCUGCGAGGGCUGUUAAGCGCGCAUCCCAAUAUUCCCCUGCGGCCAACUGUCGGGGACCUCCAACUCUUUGAAUUUUUGCAGUCUGAGUACUAUAUAAUAGUUAAAACUUUCAACAACGGAUCUCUUGGUUCUGGCAUCGAUGAAGAACGCAGCGAAAUGCGAUAAGUAAUGUGAAUUGCAGAAUUCAGUGAAUCAUCGAAUCUUUGAACGCACAUUGCACUCCCUGGCAUUCCGGGGAGUAUGCCUGUUCGAGCGUCAUUACAACCCUCAAGCUCUGCUUGGUAUUGGGCUGGCCCCGUAGGGCCUGCCUCAAAGUCAGUGGCGGCACCGUCUGACCUUAAGCGUAGUAAUACACGUCGCUUUUGGGCUCCGGCGGUGGCUUGCCAGCAGCCCCCACACCUUCAAGGUUGACCUCGGAUCAGGUAGGGAUACCCGCUGAACUUAAGCAUAUCAAUAAGCGGAGG
rnacentral:rRNA from 1 species